rnacentral:rRNA from 1 species
UGGGGAAUUUUCCGCAAUGGGCGAAAGCCUGACGGAGCAAUACCGCGUGAGGGAGGAAGGCUCUUGGGUUGUAAACCUCUUUUCUCAGGGAAGAACAGAAUGACGGUACCUGAGGAAUAAGCAUCGGCUAACUCCGUGCCAGCAGCCGCGGUAAUACGGAGGAUGCAAGCGUUAUCCGGAAUGAUUGGGCGUAAAGGGUCCGCAGGUGGCAUUGUAAGUCUGCUGUUAAAGAGUUUGGCUCAACCAAAUAAGAGCAGUGGAAACUACAAAGCUAGAGUGUGGUCGGGGCAGAGGGAAUUCCUGGUGUAGCGGUGAAAUGCGUAGAUAUCAGGAAGAACACCAGUGGCGAAGGCGCUCUGCUAGGCC